UCUAACAAAUACCAUAUAAAUCUAAAUUUCAGACUUUGUAAAAAAUAAAAAAUAAAAUCCACAAAAUUUUCAUCCCAAUUCCAAGCACUUUAACUUUAAAUUCUAGAAUAAGUUUUGGUAUGCAGUUUUAUAGCUUAUUAAAUGCUACAAAACCGCGCUGAUUUUUGAAAAU